rnacentral:misc_RNA from 1 species
AACGCACAUUGCGCCCAUUAGCAUUCUAGUGGGCAUGCCUGUUCGAGCGUCAUUUCAACCCUUAAGCCCUGUUGCUUAGCGUUGGGAGCCUACAGUACUGUAGCUCCCCAAAGUUAGUGGCGGAGUCGGUUUCACACUCCAGACGUAGUAAAUCUUUCUCGUCUGUAGUUGAGCCGGUCCCCUGCCGUAAAACACCCAAUUUAUCAAGGUUGACCUCGGAUCAGGUAGGAAUACCCGCUGAACUUAA